rnacentral:rRNA from 1 species
UACGGGGGGGGCAAGCGUUGUUCGGAAUUACUGGGCGUAAAGGGUUCGUAGGUGGCUCGCUAAGUCAGACGUGAAAUCCCUCAGCUUAACUGGGGAACUGCGUCUGAGACUGGCAAGCUUGAGUGCAGGAGAGGAACGCGGAAUUCCAGGUAUAGCGGUGAAAUGCGUAGAUAUCUGGAGGAACACCGGUGGCGAAGGCGGCGUUCUGGACUGCGACUGACACUGAUGAACGAAAGCCAGGGGAGCAAACGGG